CUUUGGUCCCAGGUGUGGCACAUUUAUCACCCCAAAUCCACCCUGGGCAGCAGCAGCAGCUUCCAUUGAAGGCACAGCACAGAGCACUAAUCAGUUUUUCAUAAGGAAACUGCAAACUGAGCCACGGGAAACUCAGCAGCCUGGAUUUACACACGGGGGAAUAUCAGAAUCGCUUUCAUUUUGACUGAAAGAGUCAUAACCUCGCAUUUCACCGAGAGCUGAAACCAAACUAGAACCAGAGCACGUGUCAAAGCCGUACAAAACUACAACUCCUGCAUGGUUUUGAUGCAAAAUAAUCUAAGCAGGCUGGCAGGCUACAAAUUCUAACGAUUCUGUGGACAAAUCUGGGGCAAGUUUAGAAUUUGUACCGUAGUGUGUUACUUGUCAGUUUCGGUUUCACUGUAAAUAUUUUUAAGCGGAGCACCAGUGGGCUCCGAGCACAGCUCUCAGUGCCAAAGCGAGAGGCAAAGGAGCACGGCAGAGGCUGGAAACUGCUUUCACUGUGGAAUAUUUUAAGGUCAUGUUGACUCUAGGUCCUGGCUGUUGGUGGUGUUGGCACCCAGGGAUGGCAUCUGUCCCUGCAGUCCUGCUAUAGGACAGAGUUCCUCUCUUGCACUGUGAGCUUGCAGCUUCAAGGGAAAGGAUGAGCAGCUCCAAGCAGCUCUGCUGAGAGAUGCCAGCCUCGUGGUGUGAGCAAUGCUCUCCUUCCAGCUCCACCAGCUUCCAGCAUCACUAACCCCAUCCAGCCAUCCCCAAUCCACCAGGAAAGUGGGACGGGGAAAGAAGAGACUCAUGGAAUGUGCAGAGGUUUUAUGAUCAUCCACAAUGAUCAUAAAAUCAUAGAAUAUUCCCAAGUGGGAGGGUCCUGCAGGGAUCGUCAGGUCCAGCCGCUGUUCCUGUAACAUCCCCAAGGAUGCCACCACGUGCUUGGGAGCGGAGGGCUCCUCUGGCAGCUCUGAGAAUGUGCUUAUUCCCUGGGGAGCCUGCUCAGUGCCCCAGCACCCUCGGGGGAUGGGAAAACGGCAAAACCUCUCCCUGUUCUCCCCCAGCCCUCCCUGGCACAGCUCCAGCCGUCCCCGGGCACCACUCGGGGACAGCGCGGGGGGAUCAGCGCCCGCCCGGCACUCACAGUACAGGAAGGCAAUGGAGCGCAGCAGCACGAUGCGGGUCAGCCAGAAGGCUGUGCUGUGCAGGAGGAAAGAAGAGAUCCAACACCUCGCCUAACAUUUAAUGUUUAAUUCAUAUAUGGGAGGAAGGGGUAUGGAACAGAGGAACCGGGAUGGGACAUGGAGCAGCCUCCAUCCCACAGGGGUGCUGAGGAUUCCCGAGUGAGAGUGUGAUGGAGCCAGGCACACAGACCUUGGAUUUACUCCCUGAUUCCCAGAAACACUGCCUGAGCUGGCCAGGAACUUUCUCAGAGGCCACGUCAGAAAAUGAAGCAAUAUUCCAAAUAUCAGCCUCCGCUGUGCCCACUCUGUCAGGAAGAGCUGGAUCUGUUCCCCCAAAUCCUCUCUGAACUGGGUGCGCUCCUAAAGCUCCAGUGGGCCACAGGAACCUGGGUUGUGCCCUCCUGUUGGAGAUUUUUUCAGGGAUGGCCUAGAAGGCAGCUGUGAGGAGCAGAUUCUCACAGCCUGUUUCUGUGAACAGCAGAGGUUCUCAGGUUAUUUUUAACUACAGGUAAAAGUGACAAACAUGAAGGCCUUGAGAGCCUUGCACAUCAGAGUUCUCAGGCAGCUUUCUCAUAACAAGUGGAUGUUCUAUCUUUGGCUGUUUUGGGAAAGCAAGAAUAAUUUUGAGAACCCAAAUCUUGGUAUUGGAAACAUAAGGAGGGGUUGUUAUGUUAUCUCUGACCUAUUGUGAGCUCAGAUUUUGCAAUAUGCAUGAAGUGAAUUAACACUGUUAUAAAAGGUGCCUGAUUGA